rnacentral:rRNA from 1 species
GAUGAACGCUGGCGGCGUGCCUAAUACAUGCAAGUCGAGCGAACAGACGAGGAGCUUGCUCCUCUGACGUUAGCGGCGGACGGGUGAGUAACACGUGGAUAACCUACCUAUAAGACUGGGAUAACUUCGGGAAACCGGAGCUAAUACCGGAUAAUAUAUUGAACCGCAUGGUUCAAUAGUUAAAGACGGUUUUGCUGUCACUUAUAGAUGGAUACGCGCCGCAUUAGCUAGUUGGGAAGGUAACGGCUUACCAAGGCAACGAUGCGUAGCCGACCUGAGAGGGUGAACGGCCACACUGGAACUGAGACACGGUCCAGACUCCGACGGGAGGCAGCAGUAGGGAAUCUUCCGCAAUGGGCGAAAGCCGGACGGAGCAACGCGGCGUGAAUGAUGAAGGUCUUCGGAUCGUAAAGCUCUGUUAGUAGGGAAGAAGAAAUGUGUAAGUAACUAUGCACGUCUUGACGGUACCUGAACAGAAAGCCACGGCUAACUACGUG